rnacentral:rRNA from 1 species
CCUACGGGAGGCUGCAGUGGGGAAUAUUGGACAAUGGGCGAAAGCCUGAUCCAACCAUGCCGCGUGUGUGAAGAAGGCCUUCGGGUUGUAAAGCACUUUCAGUGGGGAAGAAAGCCUUGGGGCUAAUACCCUCGAGGAAGGACAUCACCCACAGAAGAAGCACCGGCUAACUCCGUGCCAGCAGCCGCGGUAAUACGGAGGGUGCGAGCGUUAAUCGGAAUUACUGGGCGUAAAGCGCGCGUAGGCGGUCUGAUAAGCCGGUUGUGAAAGCCCCGGGCUCAACCUGGGAACGGCAUCCGGAACUGUCAGGCUAGAGUGCAGGAGAGGAAGGUAGAAUUCCCGGUGUAGCGGUGAAAUGCGUAGAGAUCGGGAGGAAUACCAGUGGCGAAGGCGGCCUUCUGGACUGACACUGACGCUGAGGUGCGAAAGCGUGGGUAGCAAACAGGAUUAGAUACCCGUGUAGUC